AGGACAGGUGGGUGGCUUCUCGUGUCAGGCUGCAGCUUCCAGGCCUCCGUGGACAUGAGGAACUUUGAAUUAACGCUGGAGGAGAGCCUCGAGAGCCGUUGCAGACAGCACCGCGUAAAGCGCACGGAGCCGUUGGUGGUGCCGGGCCGUGAGGCCAUUAGCACAGGGGACAGGGCCCACUUGGAGAGACCUGGCCAAUUACCGGGAGCAGCAAGCCAGGCUGAGAAAUCUUUUCUCGCCAAGUCAUUAAAGAUUGGGCUGGAGCCUCAGGAAACCCGCAAACUUGGGCCACUUAGCAGGAGAGAAGAAGGCCCACUGGCAUAUCCACACCGGCAGGGUUUUGGGUGACAGGACACGGUGGACCUAUUUAUGAGCCUUAGGCUUUGUCUCCUCCAAGCACCUCAAGGUUUCAUGUGGUCGGCCCUCGGCACUCCGAGAGCGAAAGCUUCAGCUACUUGCGACUGAAAGUGAAAAAAGAAAAUCCCAAAUCAACCUAACUGAUUCGUUCCCGAGUGAAGGAAAAUGACAGAGGAAGGACACAGAGCCGCUAAUGGCCAUUCUUUGACAGCCCACCCAGACUGUCCUCGCUGUAUUUAAAAUAAGCACUUUCUCGACUCCUCACUCUCUAACCAUGACAUCACUGCUGAGGGAAAGGUGGCGAGAGAAGACCAGGCAAACACAUCAGGAGCCGUGAAUCAGAGCGAGGGCGGGAAGACUAACGUUGUCCAGAAGGGAAGGCCCCACACAGAACUAGACCAGGCCGCCGGGGACCGGGCCACUGGGGAGGCUUCCUGGCUGUUGAGUUCCCUCUUCUGCGUGUCCCUUCUCCCCACCAGGGUGGCAGGGCUCUCUCCAGGCCUUAGCCCUCAAGUCUGGCUCUUUGAGGUUUUGAUUGAUCUCAGAUUUAAUUUUCUCUUCUAGAAUUUCCUGAUAAAUCUCCAAGCAGAAAGCAA